rnacentral:rRNA from 1 species
UACGGAGGGUGCAAGCGUUGUCCGGAAUCACUGGGCGUAAAGGGCGCGUAGGCGGCUCAUGAAGGCUGUGGUGAAAGUCCGGGGCUCAACCUCGGAUCGGCCGUGGCGACUCGUGGGCUGGAGCACUGUAGAGGCGGGUGGAAUUCCGGGUGUAGCGGUGGAAUGCGUAGAGAUCCGGAAGAACACCAGUGGCGAAGGCGGCCCGCUGGGCAGUGGCUGACGCUGAGGCGCGACAGCGUGGGAGGUCAAACAGGAAUCAAGGAU